rnacentral:lncRNA from 1 species
CUCAGGUCCACACGCCCCCCGCCCCACUCCCACCACCACGAGCCACAGCGGCUGCCGCGGAGGUCCCGCACCAGCACCAGCCGGGAGCACCGGCCCCGGGGCGCAGCAGUGGGCGUGCCCGCACCGCCGGGAGCUGCAGGAACCGAGCUCGGGAACCCAGAGAGCACGCCUCCUUCACCGCCUUCCCAUCCCGUGGAGAGCUGACCCAGGCUCGCACGCCCGCGCUCGCGGGAAUGCCAACAAGGGUCUCAUCACCCGUGGCGACGCACAUGUCCUGCGAUCAAGACAAGGCUUUGGUGUGUGACAGACGACCCGGCGGCUUACACCGACAGUGACUUACAGUUUCUCAUGACCGCAUCGGUUGGCUGGUGGUUCUCUGGAGCUUGUUCCUGCAGCUGCCUUCAGCUGGAGGGUCUUCUGGGCUGGAGGUCCAAGGUGGUCCUACUCACAUGUGUGCCGGCUGAUGGGCUGUUGGCUAGAACGCUCAGCCCUCCCUCCAUCCUGUGGCUUCUUGCACUGAUUUCAACCCAGCCCCCCACCCUGGUCCACAACCAGCCGGCUGGCUUUGGAUCCCAGAAUCACCUGCAGCCGAGGAUUCCCAGGGAGAACUGUGCACACUCUUCCUGCUGUGGACCUGAUCUGUUAUUUCGGUGUCUAGGGGAGAAACUAAAGACAAUCAGGAAAUGCGGAGGAAACGUGAAUACAGACCCCAAGCUCUAA